rnacentral:lncRNA from 1 species
AAUGUUAGUUUUUUACACAUUAGUUAUAUAAUCUCCUAUGAAAUGGUUCAUCUAAAUCUAAUUCCCUGCAGGAUGCCUGUUAAAAAAAAAAACUGAAGAAAUUUUUAAAACUAGAUGAUGAUAACUAAAGAAAUUAAAACACCGUUAUUCAUGGUGUCAUAUCGAGGCUUCAGUUCUCCAUGUUUGUUAGUUAUAUGCAAGAUAUGGCAUGGUAUGGCACACUGCAUGUGUAAAAGUGGAUGAAAGCACUAAAGAAAGCGAUAACGAUAAACUUUAAUGCAGAAUUUUGUCAUGCGAUUAUGGUGGCGAUAUGAGAGAACUACUGUGGCAGAAUAUUACUAUCGUAGAACAGUUUUGCAUCAAAUCAUUGUAUAAUAUUAGUUUUUUGU